rnacentral:rRNA from 1 species
UACGGGGGGGGCAAGCGUUGUUCGGAAUUACUGGGCGUAAAGGGUGCGUAGGCGGCGCGGUAAGUCGGGUGUGAAAUCUCGGGGCUUAACUCCGAAACUGCAUUCGAUACUGCCGUGCUUGAGGACUGGAGAGGAGACUGGAAUUUACGGUGUAGCGGUGAAAUGCGUAGAUAUCGUAAGGAAGACCAGUGGCGAAGGCGGGUCUCUGGACAGUCCCUGACGCUGAGGCGCGAAGGCCAGGGGAGCAAACGGG